rnacentral:tRNA from 1 species
GCCCCUAUAGCUUAAUGGAUAGAGCAGUGGCCUUCUAAGCCAUUGAUGGGGGUUCAAUUCCCUCUGGGGGCACAA